rnacentral:misc_RNA from 1 species
AAAGUCGUAACAAGGUUUCUGUAGGUAAACCUGCAGAAGAAUCAUUAACAGUGAGCCCCGGUUCUCACCGGAGACUACACCUCUUAUCACAAAAAAGCACUCGGACUGUACUUUCCAGUCAGUGGGCUUUUUUGAAGUGUAAUGCAUCCACCCAUUGUGAAACUUAACCUAUACUUCGGCAGCACUCUUAGCCUUAAAACUGCUAGAGGGGUAAGACUGUCAGAAGCCCACUGUCAAACUAGUUGAUGAAAUGUCAUGCAGUCUGAUAACUACUAUUUGAGAAAUCAAAUUACGUUAAAACUUUCAGCAACGGAUCUCUUGGUUCUC